GGCCGGUCACAUUGGGACUKAGACACUGCCCAAACUCCUACGGGAGGCUGCAGUAGGGAAUUUUCCGCAAUGCACGAAAGUGUGACGGAGCGACGCCGCGUGUGUGAUGAAGGCUUUCGGGUCGUAAAGCACUGUUGUAAGGGAAGAAUAACUGAAUUCAGAGAAAGUUUUCAGCUUGACGGUACCUUACCAGAAAGGGAUGGCUAAAUACGUGCCAGCAGCCGCGGUAAUACGUAUGUCCCGAGCGUUAUCCGGAUUUAUUGGGCGUAAAGCGAGCGCAGACGGUUUAUUAAGUCUGAUGUGAAAUCCCGAGGCCCAACCUCGGAACUGCAUUGGAAACUGAUUUACUUGAGUGCGAUAGAGGCAAGUGGAACUCCAUGUGUAGCGGUGAAAUGCGUAGAUA
rnacentral:rRNA from 1 species